UCCUAAUGCGUCUCUACACUGGAUGCAUUAAGUUUGCGCGAGCGCGUGAAGCGCGGCAGGCAGAGAAAGCGGCAUUCGUUUACUAUAGCGCUCCUGCUCAGAUACUGAACGACUGAUUAUAACAGAAUCUUGGUAGCACAGGACGGAUUUUCCGUGAGAACAAUAGAAGACAUUUAGACACAUUGAACAUAAGUAUGCGAUAAACAGAUACUGCAGUGGCGGAGCCAAAGGGUUGUCUGGGGCGGCACUGGACACCCCUGACAUCCGAUUGGCCACCCCGGGUGCCACCCCAAAAUUUUAUUCACUGCUGGCAGUUGCUGAUGCUGAUUGACCUCUUAUUUGUCUAAAGAUGGUUUUGAAUUUUGCCGGCAAUGCUGCUCAAUCUAUUUUCAAAUUAAAGACGACAUGAAAACAAGAAAAUUAUUUCAAGAUGUUUCAAGAGAUGACACAGAGACCUCUGGCUCUGAGCAAGACAGUGAGUGAGAGCUGAAAAUGUCAUCAAACCCCUUCAUCAAGCACCAGAUUUCCUGUUCCAGAAGGACCCAGUGGGCUGUGGACAUCCAGAGCGUGGAGGAUCGUUGGUUCCAUGUGAGGUGGUCAAAGUGGGGCUGGUUUCCAGUGUGCCUGGCGUGAUGACUGGUCCAGGUUGAUGCAAUUUCUUCUGUGAAUAUGCAGUGCAGUUUCCAGGAUUUUGUGGAUACACGGGAAGGAAUUUAUUAUUUCAGUUCUGAGGGGGCCUGAACUUAUGUGUGGGAAACCACUCUAGACAGGUCAGUGAUUUGUUGGGGGACUCAAAUGUUGCAGAUGUUUUACAACCACAAACAAUUAGAAGGGGAAGACCUUCAUAACUACUCUCAUGCUCUUUAAGCGCUGUCAAAAACAAUCCCUGGGUGGGUUGGCUAACGAGUAGGGGAUUUUAUAUGAUCAGUUUGUGGAGGGUGUGGUGGGAUACUGCAUUAAGGCGAGAGCUGUGUAAAACUAUCAGAAAAAAGCCCCACUUUACCCUACUUGAGAUUUGUAAUGAAGUCAUUCUUUGGUCAAGU